rnacentral:rRNA from 1 species
UACAGAGGUCCCAAGCGUUGUUCGGAUUCACUGGGCGUAAAGGGCGCGUAGGCGGCGCGGGGAGUCAACGGUGAAAGCUCGGCGCUCAACGCCGAGUCGGCCGUCGAUACUCCCGUGCUCGAGCACUGUAGAGGCAGGUGGAAUUCCGGGUGUAGCGGUGGAAUGCGUAGAGAUCCGGAAGAACACCGGUGGCGAAAGCGGCUCACUGGACCACAACUGACGCUGAGGCGCGAAAGCUAGGGGAGCAAACAGG